AGCUUUGCGCAGUGGCAGUAUGGUAACCAAUGAGGUUUAUCUGAGGUGCGAUUAUUGUUAAUUGAAAACUUUUCCCAAUACCCCACUGUGACAGCUUGAAAUAUAGUUGGCAUUGUGAACGGUUUAGCUCUCUGCAUGUGG